rnacentral:rRNA from 1 species
UGGGGAAUAUUGCACAAUGGGGGAAACCCUGAGGCAGCGACGCCGCGUGAGCGAAGAAGGCUUUCGAAUCGUAAAGCUCUGUCCUAUGGGAAGAUAAUGACGGUACCAUAGGAGGAAGCCCCGGCUAACUACGUGCCAGCAGCCGCGGUAAUACGUAGGGGGCAAGCGUUGUCCGGAAUCACUGGGCGUAAAGGGUUCGCAGGCGGAAAUGCAAGUCAGUUGUGAAAGGCGGAGGCUCAACCUCUGUAAGCAAUUGAAACUGUAUUUCUUGAGAUGUGGAGAGGGAAGUGGAAUUCCUAGUGUAGCGGUGAAAUGCGUAGAUAUUAGGAAGAAUACCGGUGGCGAAGGCGACUUGCUGGACACAAACUGACGCUGAGGAACGAAAGCGUGGGUAGCAAACAGG